UGUCAGAGUCACACUGUAGGACAUACUGGUGCUGACAGCGGCGGCCUUCUCUGCAGACAAAUAGUAUGAAGAGUCAGGCCCCUCUGUCCGUCCCAGCUGGGGAAGAUCCAGCCACACAGCAUAACCAGAAAGAAAGGGCUGACCCUGGCCCUGGAGCCCCAGCAAGGCUGACCUGGAGCUGAAGGCUUUCUCUGGAGUCUGGCACUGCCUGGUGACUUGCUUCUGGCUGCGAGUAUUCUGGGGAACCUCUUGAGCUCAGGGCAUUGGCGGCGAGUACUGAUACAGCUUGCAGCGUCCAGCCCAGGUCUUGACUGCAGGACGAUGGUCCACUUGCUUGUGGGGCGGCUCCCCACGCAGCUGUUCCUUCUGUGUCUGUCCAUCCCUGGGAAGGUGGGAGAGCAACUUUGAGGAUACGGGAAAGAAGAGGGGGCGUGCCAACUGCAGACCCUUCCCAGUGUUGCUGGCUGCACCAAGACGCUCGUGACCCCCCAACUAAUACACAUACAAGAAAUCAGAGGGAGACAGAUAACCUCUGCCUUCUUCUGCAGGCUUAGGCCCUCCAUGCCCGAGGUGGGCUUGGAGGCCUGGAGGAGGCCGCACCUGUACUUGGGGUGGGUGAUGGCGUAAAUGAUGGGGUUGUGGAUGGCAGAAGCCUUGGCGAUGACAGCUGGCACCGAGCUCAUGUAGGGCGUCAGGACGUGCGAGUACCUAGGAUAGAGAAGGUGUGGGGUCCCCCCUCCUCAGACCCCCAGUUGUCUCUAUGCCCGACUCUGCCAAGGCCCAAACUAAACCGACACAGCCAACCCAGCCCCUUAGCGAGAGACUGGCAGGAGCAGUGAGGAUUCUGGUUGAAGGUGGGUAGGAAGCGGAGUGAGGAUGGUUGAGGGUGGGGUUCUGGGAGGAAGGCAUGUCACACCUGCAGAGGAAGUGGCUAGGUCCCACUGUCCCUCAGAACCUGUGCGGCUGGCAGUACCUCUCUGUGUCACUCAGUUGUCCCUGGUCUUCCGAUCCCACAUGCCAUGCCACCAAACCCUCACCCCAUCUUGUACACUGUCACCUUGGAAGUCCUAGAGAAACUUCUGGUAGGCCCCUGGAGGAGACUGCAUUAUUACUACUCAAGGAGAUUGGCACCCGAAUAGUUCAAAGUACCAAAAUCUCAUUCUCACAGAAGUGCUUUGGAAAUCUAGUCCAUGUGCAUGCUGCUGAAGGUGCCAUGGUUACCAGACUCAAGCCACAGAAGGUACUAGAGAGAACCUCUUAGGGAUCCAUUCUUAAGCAGCAGCAGCCCUGGCUGUGUGCCUAUGGCUCAGGCUGAGAGGGAACCUGAACCCCGAUAUAUCUGUACGUUCCCAAGGAGAUGGAAGGUCCCCAGAUUGCCUGUGUGUAGUCAGGGCUCCCCAGUAAAUCUCUGAAGCUUCCAGGAACCGGGUAAGCCUUGUGGGGUGAGGCCUGUCACAUGGGGAGGGUGCCAGGAUGCCUGGUUUGGGCCAGGCUGGAGGGAGAGGGUGCCUGGAUCUGUGCCUUAAUCCCCUAUCCCAGUGCUGUGGCCCCUGCUCACCCAGCAAAGGCCACCAGGGCCACAGUGGAGUAGGGAGCCCAGGAGAGCACGAAGAGGAGGAUGACAAUCAGUGCGACCUUGGCCAUCUUCCACUCACUCUGCAGCCGAUGCCACUGCCGCCGCCGUUGAGGGGACUCACUGCGGUCCUCACAGGCCCUAGGAAGGUUGCAUCUGGGUUGUCGCAAGUACCAGGGUCACAGCCACUGGGCACACAUAGGAGGCGUCAUCCUUUCCCACCCUGACAGCUCUGAGCUUCAGCUGCCCUCCAGGGGUUCUGCCAGGAGUGCAGUCUACCAGCCCUCCUCAGAGGACCUUGUCCCUGGGAACUUUCCUGGGAACCUCUCCCCGUAAGCACACGAGUUCACCGAUCUCAACCUAUCUGCAUCCGAGUACGUUCUGAUGGGCGGGCCCCACCUUCUUUGGGUCACCUCUUCACAGCACACUCACCGGCCUGUCUCUCGGAUGGCCCUGAAGAUGAAGACGUAGCAGCAGAUGAUGAUGAGCAGGGGGAGGAAGAAGACGAAGCAGAAGAGCAGCAUGGUAUAGGCGCGCACCCGGGGCGUGAAGGUCAUGUAGUCCCAGGAGCAGGACGUCAGCAGCCCCUCGGGCACGUAGGCACCUGCGAGCCGGGGACAGGGGCUCAGCCCUCACCUUGUCAUUGCUUAAGGCACCUUGCUCAGUAGGGGCCUCAAACGCCGAGCUUGGGGUUCCUGGGCACAACCUGGCCUCAGCCGCAAGCCUGCCCUGCCCAGAACCGAGGAAGCCAGAGACGGUUGAGAGACGUGAAGGGAGACUCCCGAGUUGGCUCUAGUGGGAACCUUGCUGCUUGUCCUGCCUGCUGAGGCCUCACAGGCCCAGCCCCUGGCUGGUCUGACUCGCUACAAACUCAGCAUUAAACAUGCCUCACUUGCUCCCA